CCGCAUUUUCGUAUAUAUAAUUGUUCAGAUUUGGACUUGGACAUCAUAUGAAAUUUACCGCAAAAAAAUCAAAAAGGACCAUGGUAGAUAAGUUUGGAAUGAUCUUCGUUAUGUGUAAGAAGUAGUAAUUUGGAAGGGCUAAUAAUCAAAAUUGAAGAAUCGGUAAGAAAAGUAUGUAAUUGCAAUCUUUUUAUUUUCAAAAUAACUUGGUAUUCCAAAUGUGCAUAACCAGAGGAUUAAUAUUAUCUGCAACAUAUGAAUGAUUCGAUAGUCCAGACUGAACACCUGAAUUUUUUAAUUGUCCAACUAUUAUGUUACAAUCUAAAGAAAUGUCGUUUUAACGCUAUUUUCUGAAAAGGGUCCACGACAUAGUCGCUAAUUAUUUCCAUUGCACUGCUCUUAGCAUAUAUUUAUUUAUAUUUUCAGAAUGUGCAUUUGCUGCUCUUUUUUGUUCGAAAAAAAAAAGAAAUAUGUUGAACGUGAAUGUUUAAAGUUAUGUGAUAAACUAAGUGUCCAGUGUGUUUGUUACGCUUACGUUUUCUGGGGGGAAAUGCCGACGUCGUAAAUGGUUUUU
rnacentral:lncRNA from 1 species